CCUACGGGUGGCUGCAGUGGGGAAUAUUGCACAAUGGGCGCAAGCCUGAUGCAGCCAUGCCGCGUGUGUGAAGAAGGCCUUCGGGUUGUAAAGCACUUUCAGCGGGGAGGAAGGCGGUGAGGUUAAUAACCUCAUCGAUUGACGUUACCCGCAGAAGAAGCACCGGCUAACUCCGUGCCAGCAGCCGCGGUAAUACGGAGGGUGCAAGCGUUAAUCGGAAUUACUGGGCGUAAAGCGCACGCAGGCGGUCUGUCAAGUCGGAUGUGAAAUCCCCGGGCUCAACCUGGGAACUGCAUUCGAAACUGGCAGGCUAGAGUCUUGUAGAGGGGGGUAGAAUUCCAGGUGUAGCGGUGAGAUGCGUAGAGAUCUGGAGGAAUACCGGUGGCGAAGGCGGCCCCCUGGACAAAGACUGACGCUCAGGUGCGAAAGCGUGGGGAGCAAACAGGAUUAGAUACCCGUGUAGUC
rnacentral:rRNA from 1 species